UGGGGAAUCUUGCACAAUGGAGGAAACUCUGAUGCAGCGACGCCGCGUGAGCGAUGAAGCCCUUCGGGGUGUAAAGCUCUUUCGACGGGAACGAUAAUGACGGUACCCGAAGAAGAAGCUGCGGCUAACUACGUGCCAGCAGCCGCGGUAAUACGUAGGCAGCAAGCGUUGUUCGGAAUUACUGGGCGUAAAGAGUGUGUAGGCGGUGCUCCAAGUCUGUUGUGAAAUCUCCCGGCUCAACUGGGAGGGUGCGGCGGAAACUGGGGUGCUAGAGGAUGGGAGAGGUAAGCGGAAUUCCUGGUGUAGCGGUGAAAUGCGUAGAUAUCAGGAGGAACACCUGUGGUGUAGACAGCUUACUGGACCAUUUCUGACGCUGAGACACGAAAGCGUGGGUAGCAAACAGGAUUAGAUACCCUGGUAGUCCACGCCCUAAACGAUGCAUACUUGGUGUGAGCGAUUCAUUUCGUUCGUGCCGGAGCUAACGCGUUAAGUAUGCCGCCUGGGGAGUACGGUCGCAAGGC
rnacentral:rRNA from 1 species